rfam:Myotis lucifugus cont2.10109, whole genome shotgun sequence.
AGCGGUUCUUGGGUGAUGCACCCCGGAAUUGGGCUCCCUCCUCUCUGGUUCUGUGGUGUGUCACCCGAGAACCACU